rnacentral:lncRNA from 1 species
GUGCCCUUUUCAAGUUUUGUACUAAGAAGUGGUUUUUACAACAAAACAAAAGCUUGUAUCACAUGAAAUUGAUCCCUCAACUCAUGUGUAGUCAUUACAUUGAAGGGUUACUCUCAUUCGAGGGGUUUUUCUUAACCUUUUGGAUAGAUUUCUUCAUAACGACAGUUUUCUUUUCUUGACCAUCGAAAAUGAAAAAGUUGAGACGUAAAACUAUGCUUGAAACACGUGUGUCACUAAAACGACUUUAAAGUAGUCUCUCUAAUCAAUAACCUAUAUUAAAGUCAAAGGAUAAUUU